CUUUUUGAAACAGUGCAGUUCUGCUUAUAGGUAGUACUCCACCAAAUAGCAUCUCGGCUGGGUCAAAGUUCGAAGUGACCCGAACUUUUAAUGGAGGAGUUAAAGCCGUGAGUCCUGCCAUUGGUGAUAAAUGUGACAGUGGUUGCUUGCAUCAAGUACAGUUUUAUGUAGGUAAUAAAUGCAUGCAAUUUUAUUUUGUGCAGUACCAGUGUGUCAGGCACACUUGUGCUUGAAACAUACACGGGGUGCCUGUAAAACUAAGCACUACCAUUUUGUGCGGAAUUGACGGGGCUUGUAACAACAUCCUGUUAUCUCGAAAAUGAGCCAUGAAAGGUGCCAUUUAACUCAGUCACUACUUUGGGUGAGGUGUUGUAGUAUUCAUAUCUAUGGUUCAAAUUUUGGUUGAUACGUUGUGUAUAGUAGUUUCAGGCCAAUAUCUUAACACUGUCACCAAUGGGAUUUUAAUUGGUAUAGUCCAACCUUAUACACUAUCGGUUUGUGUUCACGACGACCGGAGAAACAUAACCCGAGCAGCUUGUUGACAACGCAAAAUGAGGUUUUUGCUAAUAAGUUGUGUGUUCGUGUUGACUGCCGCCCAAGAUUUUUCCAAAUGCCAGACGAAGCGCUGCUGCACCCCUAAAAGGUGGGAAGGUAUUCAGGCCGUUUUAGGUGGCAUCGUGAAUAAGUCGCCUGAGAAACCCGGGUUAAUUAAGCGCAUCACUCGUUUCCAUUAUGACGACACCAAAGAUCUGGCGGCAUCUUUCUCCAACAUUACGUUGUCGGGACAAGUUUAUCAAUUACACGCUGUUCGAAGAAAGAAAACUUUGUAUCUUGUUGACCUGAACACAAAGAAAUGUCACAAGAGUAGAAUUACGAAACCUUUUAAACUGAGAGAAAGAUGCAUCCCAUGAAGCGCCACGUGUACCGGACCUUUCUACAUGGGCAGUGGAAAUAACAAACUUGAAUUCAAUACGUUCAACACGAUUAAACGAAAAUCAAACAAGACGUACCUAAAUGUCUCCGCUUCCGUCACUGAGAAGUGUAUUCCCUUAAGCGAAGCCUUUUUCGGAACGGUUAGCGGGCAGCGAAUCGUAGAGACCAUCAGAUACUAUGAUGUGCGAGUGGGAAUCAAAGACCCGUCUGUAUUUGACGUACCUAGACUCUGUAACAGUCCCAGUGGCGACUUUAAUCUCGCCUCCUUUCUCAACCGGCACACACAAGACAGUGUGGUGCCAAUCGAAGACAAGAUCAGAUACUUCGACACCCGACUGGGAUACAAAGACCAUUCCGUGUUUGACGCACCCAAACUCUAAAAGUGGCAACAUUGGUUUCGCCUCACUUGUCCAUCAGCUCAAACAACACAGAAUGCUAAGCUUUGAUUAAAUAUGAGAAUGUUUUUUCAAUAUGAACUUUAUUCUUUCCAAUAUCACAUUGUUUUAUAUUAUAGUGUAGCAAGGAAACAUAAUAAGAAGUAAUAAUCCAGGAAUAUUAUUCAGUUCCGUACAUUGCAUAAUAUCAUAUAUUAGUCUUAUAUUUUUUCCAAUAUAUCUUCCUUUUACAAAACCAGUUUGGUCAUUAUCUAUUAUUUUGUCCAAAGUUUGCUUUAUUCUGUUAGCGAUGCACCCUGAAGCAAUUUUAUAAAUGCAGUUUAGUAGAGUUAUAGGUCUCCAGUUUUUAAGAAAUUCCUUUGGUUUAUUUACUUUUGGAAUACAUGUAAUUAUACCUAAUGUUUGUACAUUUGACAUUUCUUUAAUAGAAUAGCUAUAGUUGAUGGCCCUGGUUAUAAAAUGUCCUAAAUCAAUCCAAAACAUUUUGAAAAAUUCAGCUGAGAAUCCAUCUGACCCUGGACUUUUAUCAUUUUUCAUGGUUUUAAGAUAUGACAGUAUUUCUGAAUAAGUCAAUCCACCUUCUAAUCUAUUAGCUUCUUCAUCAGUUAGUUUAUUACAUUGUAAAUUUAAAAAAAAUUCAGUUAUAUCAUUAUCACUUUGCUCAAGUGGCGCAGAAUAAUGUUUUUCAUAGAAAUUUCUGGUUUCUUUCAAAAUUUCUUCCUGUUUUCUAUUUCCUUUCCAUUAUCUAAUUGAAUUCUUAAAAUUAGUUUGUUAGAAUAAUUCCUUGAUUCCAUAUUACAAAAAUAUUUUGUUGGCUUUUCUCCUUCCUCUAUCCAUUUUGCCCGUGAUCGAAUGUAGUGGCCUUUGAGUUUCCCUUUUCUUAAUUCCUUAAGUUCUUUUUUAUCUUCAGUUUGUUUUGUAUCUUCAAUGUUUUUAUUUUGUUCUAGCAUUUUAAUUUCCUCACAUAGUUUAACUUCUAAUUCGUUUCUUGUUUUAUUUUUAAAAGCCGAAUACGAAAUUGUCUUUCCUCUAAUUUGCAUAAGUAAUGUUUCAAGAAAUAGUUGGUCAUUUAUUAUAAAUUAAAUUUCGUUAUACGCAAUUGAUUUUAAGUUUUUAACAUUAUAAAUUGGCACUGCAUACUGACAUUUUAUUUUCCAAAUGGUUUCUUUAAUUAUUUUGACGUAUUCCUUACAAGUUAAUAACGAAUUGUUAAAUUUCCAUAGUCCCCUACCUUUUUUAUUUUGAUUAAAUUUAAUAUGUAAUGUUACACGAGAAUGAUCGGAACGAUAGCUAUUUUCAUUUGUUACCUUUUCAACAAAUGGCAUUAAAUUAUUAAUUAUAAGAAAAAAAUCUAAUCGAGCUUGUUUAGGUGGAGUUUUUUUUCUCCAAGUAUAUCUUUUAAGAUUUGGAUAUAGUUCUCUAAAUGGAUCUUUUAAAUCUAAAAUUUCCAUAGUUUCUAUGAUUUGUUUUUGUGACUUUGGAUGAUUGACAUGUAAAUAAUUUUGAGUGUCUAUAUUUUUAUUUAAAACCAAGUUAUAGUCCCCACAAAUUAUAGAUUUAUCAUUAUCCAGAUCUACAAUAUUGUCAAAAAUAUUUUCAUAAAAUGUUUUUCUUGUCUAUAUUUGGUCCAUAUAUGUUUACAAGUGUAGUCUUUUCACUUUCUAUUGUUAAAUCCAACAUAAUAAAAUUACCAGAAUUAUCUAUUUUUAUUUGUGCUUGUAUCUUAAUAAAAACAAAUGUGCUUGUAUCUUAAUAAAAUAUAUUC